GCUGGGCAUGGUGGUGCGUGCCUGUAAUCCCAGCUACUCAGGAGGCUGAGGCAGGAGAAUCACUUGAUCCUGGGAGGUGGGGGUUGCAGUGAGCCGAGAUCGCGCCAUUGCACUCCAGCCUGGGUAACAAGAGCGCACUCCGACUCAAAAAAAAAAAAAAAAAAAACCAGAAACACCAAGUCUGAAGUAUCUGAUUUUCUUUUCUUUCCUUUUUCUGGAUGCAGUCUCACUCUGUUGCCAAGCUGGAGUGCAAUGGCACGAUCUCGGCUCACUGCAACCCCCACCUCCCAGGAUCAAGUGAUUCUCCUGCCUCAG
rnacentral:SRP_RNA from 1 species